rnacentral:ribozyme from 1 species
UUACAUAGAGCACAUAUUUGAAUAAUUGUAGUCUACUCCUUCUUUUUCUUCUUAUCCUUUUCCGAUUCUUCUUCU